rnacentral:rRNA from 1 species
UACGUAGGGUGCGAGCGUUGUCCGGAAUUAUUGGGCGUAAAGAGCUCGUAGGCGGUGUGUCGCGUCGGCCGUGAAAACCUGGGGCUCAACUCUGGGCGUGCGGUCGAUACGGGCAUCACUUGAGUUCGGCAGGGGAGACUGGAAUUCCUGGUGUAGCGGUGAAAUGCGCAGAUAUCAGGAGGAACACCGGUGGCGAAGGCGGGUCUCUGGGCCGGUACUGACGCUGAGGAGCGAAAGCGUGGGGAGCAAACAGG